AGCUUUGUGCAGUGGCAGUAUUGUAGCCAAUGAGGUUUAUCCGAGGCGCGAUUAUUGCUAAUUGAAAACUUUUCCCAAUACCCUGCCGUGAUGACUUGCAAUAUAGUUGGUGUUGGCAAUUUUUGACAGUCUCUACGGAGA
rnacentral:snRNA from 1 species